AACGUCUGCUCUGUCUAAAGGAGGAAGUUUGUUUACCAGACAGCCUGAGAUCGUAUUGCUGUAUCAACCAAAAGAUGCAGAUACACGUAUUUCAUAUGCAUGUCUGUGCAUGAGGAGGAGAUUUCUGAAAGUGGUUAUUCAACUUACUGCGAUUUUAACAGGCUUAAAGCUUGGUCCAUGGAUGGUUAUGUUUGAGGAUUUGCCAAUUCGACUGCAAGUGCUGCUGCAAGAAAUUAAACAUGCAGUGACCUUACAACAGUGUACAAAUUACAAAGAAGUCUGAAGAAAAUUUUUAUUAGACAGAUGGGUGCAAAGCACAGACCUGAGAUAUAAAUUGAAUUGUGAGAAAUAUGAAUCAGGGAUGCAGGUAGAAAAUGGCAAAUGUGAUCCAGAUUGAGAAAAAAUGUCUAA